rnacentral:rRNA from 1 species
AAUGGGUCAGCGACUUAUAUUCUGUAGCAAGGUUAACCGUAUAGGGGAGCCGGAGGGAAACCGAGUCUUAACCGGGCGUUAAGUUGCAGGGUAUAGACCCGAAACCCGGUGAUCUAGCCAUGGGCAGGUUGAAGGUUGGGUAACACUAACUGGAGGACCGAACCGACUAAUGUUGAAAAAUUAGCGGAUGACCUGUGGCUGGGGGUGAAAGGCCAAUCAAACCGGGAGAUAGCUGGUUCUCCCCGAAAGCUAUUUAGGUAGCGCCUCGUGAAUUCAUCUCCGGGGGUAGAGCACUGUUUCGGCUAGGGGGCCAUCCCGGCUUACCAACCCGAUGCAAACUGCGAAUACCGGAGAAUGUUAUCACGGGAGACACACGGCGGGUGCUAACGUCCGUCGUGAAGAGGGAAACAACCCAGACCGCCAGCUAAGGUCCCAAAGUCAUGGUUAAGUGGGAAACGAUGUGGGAAGGCCCAGACAGCCAGGAUGUUGGCUUAGAAGCAGCCAUCAUUUAAAGAAAGCGUAAUAGCUCACUGGUCGAGUCGGCCUGCGCGGAAGAUGUAACGGGGCUAAACCAUGCACCGAAGCUGCGGCAGCGACGCUGAUGCGUUGUUGGGUAGGGGAGCGUUCUGUAAGCCUGCGAAGGUGGCCUGUGAGGGUUGCUGGAGGUAUCAGAAGUGCGAAUGCUGACAUAAGUAACGAUAAAGCGGGUGAAAAGCCCGCUCGCCGGAAGACCAAGGGUUCCUGUCCAACGUUAAUCGGGGCAGGGUGAGUCGACCCCUAAGGCGAGGCCGAAAGGCGUAGUCGAUGGGAAACGGGUUAAUAUUCCCGUACUUGGUGUUACUGCGAAGGGGGGACGGAGAAGGCUAUGUUGGCCGGGCGACGGUUGUCCCGGUUUAAGCGUGUAGGUGUGUGUUCCAGGUAAAUCCGGUUCACUUUAACACUGAGGCGUGAUGACGAGGCACUACGGUGCUGAAGCAACAAAUGCCCUGCUUCCAGGAAAAGCCUCUAAGCAUCAGGUAACAUCAAAUCGUACCCCAAACCGACACAGGUGGUCAGGUAGAGAAUACCAAGGCGCUUGAGAGAACUCGGGUGAAGGAACUAGGCAAAAUGGUGCCGUAACUUCGGGAGAAGGCACGCUGACACGUAGGUGAAGUGAUUUACUCAUGGAGCUGAAGUCAGUCGAAGAUACCAGCUGGCUGCAACUGUUUAUUAAAAACACAGCACUGUGCAAACACGAAAGUGGACGUAUACGGUGUGACGCCUGCCCGGUGCCGGAAGGUUAAUUGAUGGGGUCAGCGCAAGCGAAGCUCCUGAUCGAAGCCCCGGUAAACGGCGGCCGUAACUAUAACGGUCCUAAGGUAGCGAAAUUCCUUGUCGGGUAAGUUCCGACCUGCACGAAUGGCGUAAUGAUGGCCAGGCUGUCUCCACCCGAGACUCAGUGAAAUUGAACUCGCUGUGAAGAUGCAGUGUACCCGCGGCAAGACGGAAAGACCCCGUGAACCUUUACUAUAGCUUGACACUGAACAUUGAGCCUUGAUGUGUAGGAUAGGUGGGAGGCUUUGAAGUGUGGACGCCAGUCUGCAUGGAGCCGACCUUGAAAUACCACCCUUUAAUGUUUGAUGUUCUAACGUGGACCCGUGAUCCGGGUUGCGGACAGUGUCUGGUGGGUAGUUUGACUGGGGCGGUCUCCUCCUAAAGAGUAACGGAGGAGCACGAAGGUUGGCUAAUCCUGGUCGGACAUCAGGAGGUUAGUGCAAUGGCAUAAGCCAGCUUGACUGCGAGCGUGACGGCGCGAGCAGGUGCGAAAGCAGGUCAUAGUGAUCCGGUGGUUCUGAAUGGAAGGGCCAUCGCUCAACGGAUAAAAGGUACUCCGGGGAUAACAGGCUGAUACCGCCCAAGAGUUCAUAUCGACGGCGGUGUUUGGCACCUCGAUGUCGGCUCAUCACAUCCUGGGGCUGAAGUAGGUCCCAAGGGUAUGGCUGUUCGCCAUUUAAAGUGGUACGCGAGCUGGGUUUAGAACGUCGUGAGACAGUUCGGUCCCUAUCUGCCGUGGGCGCUGGAGAACUGAGGGGGGCUGCUCCUAGUACGAGAGGACCGGAGUGGACGCAUCACUGGUGUUCGGGUUGUCAUGCCAAUGGCACUGCCCGGUAGCUAAAUGCGGAAGAGAUAAGUGCUGAAAGCAUCUAAGCACGAAACUUGCCCCGAGAUGAGUUCUCCCUGAGACUUUAGGUCUCCUGAAGGAACGUUGAAGACGACGACGUUGAUAGGCCGGGUGUGUAAGCGCAGCGAUGCGUUGAGCUAACCGGUACUAAUGAACCGUGAGGCUUAACCUUACA